GAAAUGCGAUAAGUAAUGUGAAUUGCAGAAUUCAGUGAAUCAUCGAAUCUUUGAACGCACAUUGCGCCCCCUGGCAUUCCGGGGGGCAUGCCUGUCCGAGCGUCAUUGCUGCCCUUCAAGCCCGGCUUGUGUGUUGGGUCGUCGUCCCCUCCCGGGGACGGGCCCGAAAGGCAGCGGCGGCACCGCGUCCGGUCCUCGAGCGUAUGGGGCUUUGUCACCCGCUCGAUAAGGACCGGCCGGGCGCCAGCCGGCGUCUCCAACCUUUUUUUCUCAGGUUGACCUCGGAUCAGGUAGGGAUACCCGCUGAACUUAAGC
rnacentral:misc_RNA from 1 species